UGUGUCAAAAGACAAAAAAAUUUCGUCGACGAAAUGAUUUUGUGUUUUGAGUCUUUUUGACAUAAAAUCAUUUCGUCUCCUCUGUCUCGAAGGGGACAUAAGAAGGUCGCUGAUUGGCUGCACCUUGCUCAAGCUGUUUUCGCUCCGGGAUCGGACGGACGAUCACACUUUUUCACAGCUCAGAUUGGCAUGUUGAUGAACUUAUUAGCUUAGAUUUCACGUUAUUCAUGCCUACAUGAGCUGCAUACAACUGCUCUAAUCGGUAGGAUGUGGACGGACAUUGCAUUCAUUCCCAUUCAGCCGUUGGACUGAACCGGUACUGUCUGUAACACAGUAUGGAUGGUCAAUAUGAAGCGAGCUUCAUUGAAUUCCUCCAAGAGCUCUGUACUCCGUUCUGAUAAUUUUGAAGAUGGUUGCUUUGACAGGACUGGGCAAGUGACUCGUCUUAGACAAGAUGCUGUCCCAACCAUGUUUGAUUUCCUGCCUCGUCUUCAGAAGAAUUCACCAAACCAAGGAAUUCCCCGAAAGAAAGAUGUUUUGAUUCAGCAAACAACCUCCCAGAUACUGCAAAGACACCUGUACCAAAGUCUUCAGCACCUUUAUUUCUCAAGGACCACUACUACUCAAUAUCAGAAAGUCCAAGAGGGGUAAAGUGGAAGUUAACAGCAAUAAUGGACUGUAUUAAGAACUUGGAGAAGAGGCUGAAAACCACACACGAGAAGUCCCGCCGUGUACAUUACUUGCUCUUAAGUUUGGACAAACAUAACUUGCAAAACUUUACAACAAAUAAUUACCCCAAUGUGCAUUCUGAUUAUUUAAAAUAGCUUAUCAGUGGGCAUGUAACA